rnacentral:lncRNA from 1 species
UUUUAUUAAAAUCUUCUAUAUAGCAUAGUAUGUCAUGGAAACUUCAUAUAUUUGCUUCUUAAGAUAUUUUCAUAAGCUUUGUAAGAAAAAGAUAUUUCAACAAGCGGUUCACGAGCUCUGGAAGCGAUUCAUGAGCUAUGGAAGCUAUUAGUUGUUUCUAAGAGAAUUGGACUUGUUAAAGUUGAAGUGUGCAAUGCAGUAUAGAUAAUAGAUAGAAUCCAAUUAUAUAACCGUUCCAUAAAUCUUAUUUGAUGCAUAUUACUAAACAACUAGUUUAGCCUGAAAUUCCAUGUAUUUUUAACUUUACACUUCAUGUGAAAUACCAUGUACUUCAUUGUUGUUC